rnacentral:lncRNA from 7 species
GAUCCUGACAGUUUGGAAAGCCUCUGCAGUUUACAUCUAUGUCUUUUUAAAAGUGAGGGGCUAACUGAGAUGUGAGACUGCAAGACUGAGCAGCCUUCUCUGCCACAUACGAUAAACGGUGGCCUUGUUAUCAACAACCAUUCUCAUAUACUGAGUUCUUUGGAAGAGGCUUUUCACUGGGACUAGUCACCAUCUCAGUGUCUGCAGCGAGUGAGCUCUGCUGAUGGUAUUCUAGUACGGUAGCUGACUUUCCUUUUACAACAGUGAAGAUCAUUUGCCUCAGAGGAAUUAAGGAAACUUACUGUGGAAACUGUUAUGAACUCUCUUCUGCUCCUGCAGUUACAAGCUGCCUUCUGCUUCUUGACUUUGAUUCUCCACCACUCCAGUUCUUCAGUGACUUUAUCUAAGGGACAGUUCUCUAGCCUGCACUACACACAAGUUGUACAAGAAGCUCCUAACGUACAUAGAGAUAUUCUUAAACAUUAACAGAUGUUUCAAUACUUCAGAGAACUACUGGAGGUUUUUAGACCUCUGUCAGGAAUACAGGGGAUAACCUUCAGUUCUGGUGCAAGAGUUAUCUCAAAAAAAAAAAAAAGUUACAAUCUGUAUUUGUCUUUCCGAAUGUAAAAGAAUGAGACAUUUCCAAGGAGCAAGGGAAAUUACUGAGAGUAAUAGAGUCUCACUGAAUGAGAUUGGCGUCUGCUAGAAUAUAACAAAGGUGGGGCCUUGUGCAGGGUUUCUGUACGGGGGCUUUCUAUCCAGUAUAGCUAUCAAUGGAAUCCUCGCUUAGAGAGAAGAAAAUACAAAUUCUUCUAUAGUUUCAUAACACUUGUGGCAAUAUAAAAGAAGCUAAUGAAGAUUAAAGGGUUAAUAUUCUGUGAUCAGUACCACAUGAUGACACAGUGCAUUUCAGCAGAAUUGCACUUGACCUUUAAAGAAUUCUAUAAACAGUGCCUGAAAAAUGUUAAUGGAUGUUCAGGGGCAGAAAAAGCAAGGUUCAUUAAAGGUUUGUACAAACAGUUUGACACAGAAAACAAGUGAGCAACUACUUGAUUGUGGAGGCUAUCAGAAUUUAUAUCAACCUGGAUUUCAGGGACCUUGGGUAACAGUGAACUGAGAGUGAAUUAUUGCGAUUUCCUUAUUUUUAUUUUUCAUUAUUUUUUAUUAAUAUUGAAAUGAACACUGUGAGUCUGAAGAAGAUUGUGUUAUUGUGAGGACUUCAUGGGCACAACUAGACCUGAUGGCCCUACCACAUUCACCAGAUGCCUCUAUUCACACACUAUGCCUGUAGGCCCAGGGGCUUUACUUCAUUUCUGCUCUUAAGACGUGGGCUAAAUGGAUUAUGAAUCUCUUUUUAGGAGGACUUCAUCUAUUAUACGGAAUAAAACUAAAUUUUCCAUCUAUCU